rfam:Spizellomyces punctatus DAOM BR117 chromosome Tnknown supercont1.19, whole genome shotgun sequence.
GGGCCUAUGGCCCAAUGGAUAAGGCGCCUGACUACGGAUCAGGAGAUUCGAGGUUCGAAUCCUCGUAGGCUCG